AGAAUCAACGCUGGCGGCGUGCCUAACACAUGCAAGUCGAACGAGAAAGUGGAGCAAUCCAUGAGUAAGGUGGCGCACGGGUGAGUAACACGUGACUAACCUACCCUUGAGUGGGGGAUAACCUAGAGAAAUCUGGGCUAAUACCGCAUAAUACCUUCGGGUCAAAGGAGCAAUUCGCUUAAGGAGGGGGUCGCGGCCGAUUAGUUAGUUGGCGGGGUAAUGGCCCACCAAGACUAUGAUCGGUA
rnacentral:rRNA from 1 species